rnacentral:rRNA from 1 species
AGCGGAUGACUUGUGGCUGGGGGUGAAAGGCCAAUCAAACCGGGAGAUAGCUGGUUCUCCCCGAAAGCUAUUUAGGUAGCGCCUCGUGAACUCAUCCUCGGGGGUAGAGCACUGUUUCGGCUGGGGGCCAUCCCGGCUUACCAACCCGAUGCAAACUGCGAAUACCGAGGAAUGUUAUCACGGGAGACACACGGCGGGUGCUAACGUCGUUCUG